GACGAACGCUGGCGGCGUGCUUAACACAUGCAAGUCGAACGGAAAGGCCCUGCUCUUGUGGGGUGCUCGAGUGGCGAACGGGUGAGUAACACGUGAGUAACCUGCCCUUGACUUUGGGAUAACUUCAGGAAACUGGGGCUAAUACCGGAUAGGAGCUCCUGCUGCAUGGUGGGGGUUGGAAAGUUUCGGCGGUUGGGGAUGGACUCGCGGCUUAUCAGCUUGUUGGUGGGGUAGUGGCUUACCAAGGCUUUGACGGGUAGCCGGCCUGAGAGGGUGACCGGCCACAUUGGGACUGAGAUACGGCCCAGACUCCUACGGGAGGCAGCAGUGGGGAAUAUUGCACAAUGGGCGGAAGCCUGAUGCAGCAACGCCGCGUGCGGGAUGACGGCCUUCGGGUUGUAAACCGCUUUCGCCUGUGACGAAGCGUGAGUGACGGUAAUGGGUAAAGAAGCACCGGCUAACUACGU
rnacentral:rRNA from 1 species